rnacentral:misc_RNA from 1 species
UGGCGUCGCUGCGAUCGCUGCAGUAUCCAACAUGGCGACGCCCAGUGAGCUGUCGCUCGAAGAGAUUCGCAAGUAUUUGCUCGACAACGGGGGAACGGCCCGUAACCACGACCUGGUCAAGCACUUCAAGAAGUUCCUGACGGACCCCGAGACGCGAGUCGAGGCCCGCAACAAGUUCAAAGAGUACGUCAACUCCCUGGCCACCAUCAGGAACGAGGAGGGUGAAAAGUACCUAGUCCUGAAAAAAAAGUACCGACAUGCUCCGCUCUCGACUUCGACGUCGUCCUCGUCCCUGACCGAAUCUGGGCUUCCGAUUCCAAGCAGUCCUUCGACGCCUCUUUCGCCUCUUCGCGAGCCGCCUCCUUACAGACCGCCGCCACCGGCCGCAGCGAGUCCUUCUUCAGGAUCGGCGGAUCCUCGGGAUCGGCAGGAUCUGGGAGGAGAUGAUGGAUCGGGAAAAGUCGUCGAGGAAAAUCAGUCCGUGUCCUCGCCGCCGAUUCCUCCGCGUCGUAAGAGUCAGGACAAGCUUCGAAUCGAGAACAACAACAAGGAAAACGUCCUGCCGGAAGGCGAGAAAAUCGUCGACGAUGAAACCGCCGUAGGGGAGGACGGUGGUCCCGCUUCUUCGACAGCCUCGGCUGAACAGCUGAGCGUCCGCGAACGAAUGCAGCGAUUCAACAGGAUGGCUAGCGAGACCGAUAUUCAGGGCCCAGUCAAUGGCUCGACCACACCAAAUAAGAAACGCUCCGACAAGGGAACCGACGAAGAUGACAGGGCCUCCGUUGCUUCGCAAUUGGACGGAAAGUCAAGGGAAUGGCUCGUACGUGCUGCUCAGGGCGAUUACCAGACACUCGCCAAACUUGCUGCCGAAGAACCACGUCUCGCCAGGCUCAGGGAUCCAUCUUCUUAUACUGCGUUGCACUGGGGUGCGAAACACGGGAACGAGGACAUCGUUAAACUCAUCGCCGGUACCUACAAGGACUACAUCAAGAGUGUCAACGAGACCACGAAUGGGGGAUACACGCCACUGCACAUAGCGAUGCAGUUCGACCACGAGAACAUCUUUAAUCUUCUGGUCCAAGUGUACGGGGCGAAUCAGGACGUUCGUGACUACAGCGGUAAAAAGGCGAGACAGUAUCUGGCGUCGCAGGAGGCGGCGGUGAGCCAGGACACCUUCCGCAGGAUUACUGCUGCGGCCACGCUCAGAAAUAAAAGCAAGGAAAAAACAUGCAGAGAAAGAUAUUGGUUUCCUACGAAUUGGCUCAUUGAACGUCCGCGUGAAACGGACGACGGAAGCCUUCAGCCAAUUCCUGGGUGUGGCGACUAGCAACGCCAGCGCUACCAACGAAAAGAUUCACAAAAGUUGGGGAUCCGCCGAUAAUAUACAGACGGAACACAAAGUUAUGCCGCCACCAAAAUACGCACCGAUUAAGAAACGUCGAAGCAGACGAGCCCAGGAUUUCAAUUCGCAUCAAAGCAAUAACAAUCCUCAUCCCCAGGGACACGGCCAAGUUACCGAUCCUCCGCAA